rnacentral:lncRNA from 10 species
GUCUCCCCGCUUGGGCACGGGGCUGUGCGCGACGCAGUGGACGGGUGCGGGGCUCAGCGAGGGACUCCCGGGUCCAUAGAGAUCUGGGGAGGGUGGGGGGAGCAAGGACGAGUGCCUGCCGGGACCCCCCUGGCUCCUCGCUCCCAAGGAGUCGAGGGGAACGUCUCUACCGCGCUGCAAAGCCAGCAGAGAUGGAGCAAAGAAACCGUCAUACUCCAAAUGGUGGUGUUUAACCUCAAGUUUGUUUUAAAUAUACCUGCCUGACUCUGACCAGAGAUCAAAGUGAACAUCACAAAUAACGGGACAAAUUGACAUUAUGUGUCUUCUGAUAUGACGCUCUGAGAGGAACACAGCACCAUAAGGUGGUAUCUGUGAUAUCUCUGGCCAACCAUAAGGAAACAAUUACACAAACCCAAACUGAGAAGCCUGCAAAAUAACUGGCAUGAAAUCUUCAAAAAUAUUGAGAUCAUGAAAGGUAAACUGGCCUCAAAAAAGUGGAUAAUAUUCUAACAUGGGAAUGCAAAACCAUCAUGCCUGGAAGAUCACUGCAUCAAGGAUAUAUGAUUGUGUGGCCUGACAAUCUCAGAAAGUAAAAGCAAAGAAAUUGAAAGACAUGGAAAGAACUAGGCCGGGACCAGCACUGGGCCUUAAUAACCAGUUCACUGAGAUGGUAAGGUUCUAAAUCUUUAGAAGCCCUAAUAAUAUGUUUUACAUAGUGUGACAGCAUAAAG